GCCUAGUUGGCUUAGUGGAUAGUGUAUUUGCCUUGUAAGCGCUAGGCCGCGGGUUCGAUUCCCGCCCGAGGCG
rfam:Asian citrus Psyllid, Diaphorina citri - Florida Strain, whole genome shotgun sequence.